AAAUUGAAGAGUUUGAUCAUGGCUCAGAUUGAACGCUAGCGGCAAGCUUAACACAUGCAAGUCGAGCGGCAACGUGAAAUAGUUUACUAUUUUGACGGCGAGCGGCGAACGGGUGAGUAAUAUCUGGGAAACUACUCAAUGGAAGGGAAUAACUAUUAGAAAUGAUAGCUAAUACCAUAUAAUGUCUUAUUAUAGACCAAAGGGGGUUAAAAUCUCACACCAUUGAAUGUGCUCAGACGAGAUUAGCUAGUAAGUGAGGUAAAGGCUCACUUAGGCAACGAUCUCUAGUUGGUCUGAGAGGAUGACCAGCCACACUGGAACUGAGACACGGUCCAGACUCUUACGGGAGGCAGCAGUGGGGAAUAUUGCACAAUGGGCGAAAGCCUGAUGCAGCUAUGCCGCGUGUGUGAAGAAUGCCUUAGGGUUGUAAAGCACUUUCAGUAGGAAAGAAAAAUAUUAAUUUAAUAUAUUAAUACUUGACGUUACCUUCAAAAGAAGCACCGGCUAACUCCGUGCCAGCAGCCGCGGUAAUACGGGGGGUGCUAGUGUUAAUCAGAAUUACUGGGCGUAAAGAGCACGUAGGUGGUAUAUUAAGUCAGAUGUGAAAUCCCUAAGCUUAACUUAGGAACUGCAUUUGAAACUAAUAAACUAGAGUUUUGUAGAGGGGAGUAGAAUUCCAAGUGUAGCGGUGAAAUGCGCAGAUAUUUGGAGGAAUACCAGUGGCGAAGGCGACUCCCUGGACAAAAACUGACACUGAGGUGCGAAAGCGUGGGGAGCAAACAGGAUUAGAUACCCUGGUAGUCCAUGCUGUAAACAAUGUCAAUUUGAAAGUUGUAUCCUUGAGAUAUAGCUUUCGUAGCUAACGCGUUAAAUUGACCGCCUGGGAAGUACGACCGCAAGGUUAAAACUCAAAUGAAUUGACGGGGGCCCGCACAAGCGGUGGAGCAUGUGGUUUAAUUCGAUGCAACGCGAAAAACCUUACCUACUCUUGACAUCCAAAAAACAUUUUAGAAAUAGAAUGGACUUUUUAAAAAAGAAUUUUGAGACAGGUGCUGCAUGGCUGUCGUCAGCUCGUGUUGUGAAAUGUUGGGUUAAGUCCCGCAACGAGCGCAACCCUUAUUCUUUGUUACCAUCGUGAAAGACGGGGACUCAAAGAAACCUGCCAGUGAUAAAUUGGAGGAAGGUGAGGACGACGUCAAGUCAUCAUGGCCCUUAUGAGUAGGGCUACACACGUGCUACAAUGGUGUAUACAAAGGGUAGCUAACUUGUAAAAGCAAGCAAAUCUCAUAAAGUACAUCUCAGUCCGGAUUGGAGUCUGCAACUCGACUCUAUGAAGUCGGAAUCGCUAGUAAUCGUAGAUCAGCAUGCUACGGUGAAUACGUUCUCGGGCCUUGUACACACCGCCCGUCACACCAUGGAAGUGAGUUGCAAAAGAAGUAAUUAGCUUAAUCUAAGGAAGGGCAAUUACCACUUUGUGGUUCAUAACUGGGGUGAAGUCGUAACAAGGUAACCGUAGGGGAACCUGCGGUUGGAUCACCUCCUUA
rnacentral:rRNA from 1 species